rnacentral:rRNA from 1 species
GACGGAGGAUGCAAGCGUUAUCCGGAAUGAUUGGGCGUAAAGCGUCCGCAGGUGGCAGUUCAAGUCUGCUGUCAAAGACCGGGGCUUAACUUCGGAAAGGCAGUGGAAACUGAACAGCUAGAGUAUGGUAGGGGCAGAAGGAAUUCCUGGUGUAGCGGUGAAAUGCGUAGAGAUCAGGAAGAACACCGGUGGCGAAAGCGCUCUGCUAGGCCGCAACUGACACUGAGGGACGAAAGCUAGGGGAGCGAAUGGG